CCGCCCUUAGCUCAUUUGGAUAGAGCGGUCCCCUCCUAAGGGACAGGUAGCAGGUUCAAGUCCUGCAGGGCGGGCCA
rnacentral:tRNA from 2 species